CCUGGCUCAGAUUGAACGCUGGCGGCAUGCCUUACACNUGCAAGUCGAACGGUAACGGGCCUUCGGGUGCCGACGAGUGGCGAACGGGUGAGUAAUAUAUCGGAACGUACCAUUCAGUGGGGGAUAACGUAGCGAAAGUUACGCUAAUACCGCAUAUUCUGUGCGCAGGAAAGCAGGGGAUCGCAAGACCUUGCGCUGAUUGAGCGGCCGAUAUCAGAUUAGCUAGUUGGUGAGGUAAAAGCUCACCAAGGCGACGAUCUGUAGCGGGUCUGAGAGGAUGAUCCGCCACACUGGAACUGAGACACGGUCCAGACUCCUACGGGAGGCAGCAGUGGGGAAUUUUGGACAAUGGGGGCAACCCUGAUCCAGCCAUGCCGCGUGAGUGAAGAAGGCCUUCGGGUUGUAAAGCUCUUUCAGCCGGGAAGAAAACGCAUGGGUUAAUACCCUGUGUGGAUGACGGUACCGGAAUAAGAAGCACCGGCUAACUACGUGCCAGCAGCCGCGGUAAUACGUAGGGUGCGAGCGUUAAUCGGAAUUACUGGGCGUAAAGCGUGCGCAGGCGGUUUGGUAAGACAGGCGUGAAAUCCCCGGGCUUAACCUGGGAACUGCGUUUGUGACUGCCAGGCUAGAGUACGGCAGAGGGGGGUGGAAUUCCACGUGUAGCAGUGAAAUGCGUAGAGAUGUGGAGGAACACCAAUGGCGAAGGCAGCCCCCUGGGUCGAUACUGACGCUCAUGCACGAAAGCGUGGGUAGCAAACAGGAUUAGAUACCCUGGUAGUCCACGCCCUAAACGAUGUCAACUAGGUGUUGGGAGGGUAAAACCUUUUAGUACCGUAGCUAACGCGAGAAGUUGACCGCCUGGGGAGUACGGCCGCAAGGUUAAAACUCAAAGGAAUGACG
rnacentral:rRNA from 1 species